rnacentral:lncRNA from 1 species
CUGCCUCUUCCGACUCACGACCUAACCCUCGCCGAGUAGUCGAGGGAAGAAUGGCCGGGAAGGAGAAGACGAAGGAGAGCAAGAGGAAAAGGUAUGUCCUUCUUAUUUUCUGAUUUCAUCCAUUUUUUGGUCAUGAUACAUGACACAUUACCUGUUUUGGAUUCCCAUUUUAAUUCUUGGUGAGGAGACCCAUACCUGCAUAUACCUAUAUGCAAUCUUGACCGAUGACAAUGAUUGCUUUAGUGGAGACUAAGUGCCAUCGAAGAAGUCGUGAAAGAAAUUCCUGUUCUAGAUGUACUUAUUAGAGAAAGAUCAAGCACAUGUUCAUAGAGGGUUCGAUAGGUUAUUUGUUAUUUGUCUUCUUGCCUGUCGAGGUUAAAUGCACCCUUUCCAAGCUAAUUACGAUGGUAUGACUUUGAUCGUAACAAAGUUGCCAGCAAACAGCAUGACACUAAGACACUUUACUUCUCAUAGAAAAGAUACUACAGGAGGACCAGCAUGUUGAAAGUUAAGCCUCUAAUGGAACUUUUAGUAGUGUCGUUGUUGGAUGAGGAAGUGGUUAGAUUAAUCUAUUAUGAUGUGAGAAGACAUGGUGUAUGUGUUUUGCUUGCAGGUUGUUGCUUUUUGAUGUAGGAUACACUCUGGUGGUAAAAGCAGACAACUUUUGGAGGACUCACUUGCGUUUGCUAAAAGUCCUGCUAUUCUCAGUGUCUCAAUUUUGGACACAUUGCAGGUGUAAACUAAGAGAGAGUGAAAGAAGAGAAGCUUGUACCAUGAGGCCUUUGUAUAGGCUCUAGGGUGGUACAAAAAAGGCAACUAUAUUACAAUUGAUGGAGAAAAAUCAGCGAUGACUGAGCGAAAAAUCAUCUCUUGACUCUUUGGAUUGAGAGAAUUAUUCACAUUAAUAUUCCCCCUCAAACUUGAGCUGGUAUUGUAAAGCAACCAUCGGAGCCAAAAGUUGUGGUAUCAGCUAUGGCACAAUAUGCAGCCUCAGUGCUAAAUUGAGUACCAGAUUUGCCUUUUGCGACACCAACAAAUGAGAUUCUCCAAGAAAAAAAGAAAUCAAUGCCUAUUAGUAGACAUAUUAUGUGUUUGAUCAACUUUUCAACCAGCAAUAGGAUAUGCUUGCAGCUCUGAAUGAGAAUUGAAUGAACAAUGUUAGUCACAAAAGAAAGUGCCUUUGAUAUAUCUCAAAAUAUGGAGGACUGCAGCAAUAUGUAUAGAACGAUAUAUAACAUAUAUUGGCUGACAAGAUGAACUGCAUAUCAGAUCUCUGGAAGAUAAACAUGAUUGCCAACUAACUAACAAUGAAGUGUAUGUAGGAACAUGAAGCGGCUGUCCACCAGUAGCAUGAAGUUUGGAAUAACGUUAAGAAGAAAAUCAACAGUCUAUCAACCAGUCAAUCCAACCUUGGAUAAGAGAUCUGAUGCAUAGUUUGUUUGAGAAAGAUAACAUUCAGCAGAACCUAUUGAACUACGUAGGGAGAAGAUAUAGAGCUAUCACAUGAAGGAAGAGUAGGACAAGGCAAAACAAUCUAUGUUUCACUCAAAAACUUUUAUAUGUUUUAUGACUCAACACAUGGGGUUUAUAUAGUCCCCAUAGAUAUAUGACAUUCAUUACGUUUAAUAUGAAUCACUCUUUUCCAAGAGACUCUUUCAGGAACCAAUAAUCAAUUUGAUUUAUCCUUUUAUAGGCCUUUAAUGUAUUUCACUUCUUAAUACAAUGAACAUCUUUAUGAUACAUUGACAAGUUUAAUUCUAAUAUUCUCCCCCCCUUAAACUUGUUUCAUCUCCAAGUUUAAAGGGAGAGAAUGUUGAAACUAAACUUGUCAAGGUAUGUUCAUUGUAUCAAGAGAUGAAAUACAUUAAAGACCUAUAGAAAGAUAAAUCAAAUUGACUAUUGGUUAUUGAAAGAAUUUUUGAAAAAUAGUGAUUCAUAUUAAAUAUAAUGAAUGUAAUAUAUCUUUGGGCACUGUAUAAACCCCAUGUGCUGGGUCACGAAACAAAUAAGAGAGUUUUAGCAAGCAUAACAUUGUAUUUCAUAUUAGAAUUUCUUCCACGGCUUCGACCACAUCCUCGACCAUAACCUCGGUCUCUUUGGCUAGAAUUUUUUUCGUCACCUUUAUUGUUUUGAGAUUCUUGAUUGGUUUAAUUUCUGCCACCUUUUCCUCCUUGUCCAUGACCUCUUCCUCUUUGAGAUUUUGAUUUACUUUUAUUUUCAUGAGGAAGCUUGGUUUGUAAUGCUUGCUCUAUAGAUUUUCUUCUCCUCUUUUUGUAAGCCUUUGUCAUAAACUUGAAAAGAACCCUUGUUUUAAUGAUAUUUGUUCCUAAUUUUUUGAAUCUUCAAUCGCUACAACAAUAAAAUCAAACUUUGGAUCUAGAUAUCUUAGUUUUUUUUCUACUACUCUUUGAUCACUUAUUUGUUUAUCAUUUUGUCUCAUUUAAUAAACAAUAGAAGUGAUUUUUGAGAAGUAAUCAAAAAUAGGUUCAGAAGUACCUUACUAUAAUUUUUUUAACUUAGCUCAUAAAAAUUGUAGAUGAAGCUUUUACCUUAUUCACACCACUGAAUGUUUUCUGAAACAUUUCCUAAGCCUCUUUUGAAUUAUUUGUUGGAGAGAUGAUCUCGAACAUUAUAGCAUCAAGCCUUUGGUAAAUUGUAAACAAAGCUUUUUUUCCCUUCUUCCUUUCUUCUUUGGGUUAUUUUCUUGUUUUUGCAUUCGUUGCUCCUUCUUUUACUGCACUUGGUUCAACAAAUUCAUCUUGUACAAACUCCUAUACAUCUUGGGAGCCUAGAGGAACCUUCAUUUGGAUGCAUCAUAUAUCAUAAUUUUCUUUUGUCACUCUAGGGAUUUGGAGUUGGAUGGUGCUUGCGAAAGAGGCUAUAGCUUAACCUGAGCUCUAAUACUAAAUGUUGAACUAUGUAGGGAGAAGAGAUAGAAUUAUCAUACAAAGAAAGAGUAGAACAAGGCAAAAUAAUCUAUGUUUCACUCAAAAACUCUCUAUAUGUUUCAUGACCUAACACAUUGAGUUUAUAUAGUUCAUAUAGAUACAUUACAUUCAUUAUAUUUAACAUGAAUUACUUUUUUCCAAGAGACUCUUUCAAAAACCAAUGGUAAAUUUGGUUUAUCCUUCUAUAAGCCUUUAAUGUAUUUCACUUCUUGAUACAAUGAACAUCUUUAUGAAACCUUGACAAGUUUAAUUCCAACAGAAUCAGAUAAAACUUCAAACUGAAGAAAGUGACCAAGGGGACCAAGGGUCUUCGGAUUAGUACCUUCUGAAAGAUCAUUCUGGAUGAAGAUCUUAUCAUGAACAUAAAGUAACAAAAGAAUGGUGCAUGUGGAAGUUUGGUCAAUGAACAAUGCAGGGUCAUUUGCAUUAGAGAGGAAGCCAACUAAUUUAUAGUGGAGCUAAAGUUUGAAAACUAAGCAUUAGAAGCUUGUCUGAGUCCACAAAGAGCACAAUAAAUUCUUCAAAAUUUAUUCGGUGUAUGGGUGGAUGCAAGAGGAGAAUGCUUAUAGACUUCUUCAAAAAGAUCACCAUGCACAAAGGCAUUUCUAAAAUCAAUAUGGAGUGGUGGUCAGUGGCACAAUAUAGCGACAGUUGUGAAAGCUCUUAACUAGGUUUAUCAUGCUACUAGGAAAAUCUUUCCUCAUAGUCAAUUCCAUAACCAUGUGUAAAUUCUUUAGCAACCAUAGUGGACUUAUGUCGCUCAAUUGACCCUAGUCUUCAUUUUGUAGACCCACUUACACAUUGUUAGGAGAAUUAUCUUCAGUAAAUCAACCGGUUCCCUAGUCUGAAUUUUGAUAAGAGCCUCUAGUUCUUUUAUCGUAGUUAGCUGCCAAAGAGAGCUUAUAAAAAUAAUCACAGAAAAUGUGAGGUUCAUGAAAGGAUGCAAUGGUGGAAUAGCAGCGAUAGUCACAUAGGUAAACAAGAAGAUGUGUUACUUGAGUGGGACACUAGGUCAAGAUGUCUGGAUUGUAGUUUAGUUUGAGUGUAUGCUUCUAAAGAGAUCAUGGUGGAGAAGAAACCAUCAAUGGACAAGAGUGAUGGGGAGACUAUUGUAAUCACCAGUUCUUGAUUUAUAGGACAAUUCAUUAGAAGAAUACUAAAGGAUGAUAAGGCAGUGUUAAAGACUAGUGAAGAUUGGUUUGUGCCCCGAAAAUGUGGUAUCCUAGAGAUGCAUAGUCUUUUACAAAUGGGGUCAUAGCAUCCUUAACCAUUAUGCUCAAGUUAGCGAAACAAGAAACAACAAAGUCAAAUUUUAGGUUCAUGUUUGAUAUGCUCAUUGGAUUGAUGAUGAAGAAAAGAGCACAACCAAACAUACGAAAAAGAUUAUAAUUGGGAGGAUUAUCAUAAACAUAUGAGAAUUUAGUUGUGAUAGAUGUGACUUCAUAGUGGUGAGACGAAUGAGUUGCAAGUACAACAUCCGAGAUACUGAAAUUCAUUGUCAGUUUGCGAGUUUCUUUAGAUAUAAGUUCAACUAUAGCAGAAUCCAUAGUAGGAGUAUGACCCAAGAAACCAAUCCAGAUUGCUGCAAAGUCGUCGUUAGCAUAAACCCAUUAAGAAUUGCUAAGCCACAUGCUAUGACGAUGUUUCAGAUAUAAUUGAGCAUCAUCAGCAUAAAUCCAUUUGGUUUCAGGCAUGACCAAUUGAUUCCAAAAUACAAGAAUUUUUUGGUAAUUCAUGUUUUUUUUUAAUAAAUCAUGUUUUUUUUUUCAAAAUAAAUCAUGUAUCUUACUUACUCAAAAUUGAUGGCAAUAGAUAUGAUCAUUGAAGUUUUCUUUUGAGAAAAAGAAAACUUUCAUUAGAUAUUCAGACAUUCAGAAAACAUAGAAAAAGGUAGGACAUGCCAAUCAAAAGUGUCUCUCCAGAAACCUGUUCCUGCUAAUUCUAGUUUGAUUCCAAAUCGGCUAAAAAGGAAAAAAAUAAAAACACAAAUGAGUUCUAGAACUUCAAACUUGAAGUAUAAUGCCCUGGGUUUGAAUCUUGAUGUAACCUUUUUUUUUUUUAUCAUUCAGAAUUGGUGGUUCGGAACCAGAACAAAAACCAAAACUGCUUGGAACCCGGUCCAGUCUGGUUCCGGUUCCAGUUUUAUUUUCCACAGAAUCGGAACCGCCAAUUCUGGAACCAUGAUCAGGUCUAGCUCUAAGAAGACAAUGAUGGAGGUGAUGGAUAUUGGAGAUUCAUUAGAUAUUUUUGUAAUAAUAACUGGUAUCCCAUUACAUUAAGAUGGUAACAUUAAAUUCCUGAAGGUGUUUGUUGUCCUUUAUGUUUAGUUUUACCUUUUCCCCAGUGACAAUGCCAUGUUUUUCGCUCCUUGAGAAAAUUUUUGAUAGAUUGAGGCCAACAAUGAUGGUUGCUUCUUUGAAGGUUGAUAGGAACAGGAUGAGAAGUAUCUGCCCGGGCCAUUGGUUGGAAUGACAUCAAGUAAGUCAUAGGAUGUCAACUGGCAGUGGUGAAGAAAAGAAGAUUUCACUGGAAAACUUCACCAUGGACAUUGCUGAGAGAAAUAGAAAUUCUAGGCCUUAGAAGGUGGCUUUGAUACCAAGUAAGAGAAAGAGGAAAAAGAGAAGGAUCUGUAUGUUCAUUUUCUCCCACACUUUACUGUACAAUGCAAGAUAUUUAUAUAGGCUUUAGGGAGGCAAAAUCUGUAAUCAUUUAUACAUAUGAUGGAGAAAAAUCAGCUCUUUAUUGAGGAAAAAUCAUCUUGAUUCUCUGGAUUGAGAAUCUGCACAUCAGUAUCAGAUAUUAUUUGAUCAUUAUAACUUUGUUGGCUUUACAGGAAAAUAUAAAGAUGGCAGUCCAAUUAAAGAUCAAUCCCUUGGAUCCUUCGAACUUUUGGGUGCAAUCAAAACAGAAGAAUCGAAGAGAUGAGAAUUUAAAAAUAGAUGUUUGAUUAUUAUUCUAGACUUGUUAGAGAAUUUGUAACACCUAACUAUUACAUAUUUUAUCAUUUUCUUAUUUUUUACUUGAUUUUAUAUUUUUAAAUAUUCAUUGUUAGUCAAAACACCUUACUGUUAAAUGGUUGAUCUCGAUUAUCUCAAUUUGUUGUUGAACAAUUGACCCUAUCAAUCUCCAUCCUGACUCUAUAUCUUAUGCCACACAGUGUUUACAUGUUCUAAAUUCUGUUCCAUUUUAAGUAUCUUUGUGCCUUAACGUAGUAAAAUAAUUUGAUGAUACAUCAUAUUAUAACAGAUGACUCAGCUUCUUAUAUUGCAAAGAUAAAGGGGAGAAUACCAAAAUUUUGGAGUUUCUGCUCAAAUUUAAUUUUCAUGCAAAUAUAUGUAAAUAAUUCACAAAAUUUUACAAAAUGCAGGUACACUGCUUAAGUUAUUGGCGGAAAUCUGAUGACCAUAAAAACAUGUUUUGACCUGAUUUCCAUGUUUAUUUAUUUAUUUUUUAAUAUACAGGUGAUGUGCCCACCAGUUUGCAUGUUAUAUCAGGUUUCUUUUACACUUGAAUUUCCAUGCAAAUUUUUUAGAAUAUUUCAUUCUAUUCUUUUCAUGCUUAGCUUUGGUUAUUUUAUGGUCAACCAUUUAUCUUUCUAAAGGAUUAUAAAUGGUCUGUGUAGCUUAUUGUGGAAGGCUGUUAAUUUAUGCCAUGUUUGUAUGACAUACUUAUCCUAGACGAAUCUUCUGAUACCUUCCUGAUAACUUGGCAUACUGUCUCAAUUCUCCAUUUAACCACUAUCAAUUUUGGGAGUUGCAUGUCACAACCAAUUUUCUCAACCAAUUCAUUCAUUAAGAUAGUAUUUGAUUCUGAAGGACACCAUUGCUGGAUGGCAAGCAAAAUAAUGAACGUUUAAACUAUUGGCAUCACUUGUACAGGAAAUCCAACAUUUCAUGCUAUCAAUAUAUAAUGCAGAAUAUUGAGUAAAUUUUGAUAGGUGAAGAAGACUUUUAUCUCCUUUUCUAUGUUUAAUGUAAUCACUUUGCAAGUUGAGCCAAAGAUAAAAAAACCUUGUUCCUCAAUCUCUUAUUAAUUUGGUUUUAUUCUUCACGUUGCAGAGAGCAAAAGCCUAUGACUAUGGAUGUAAUAAGCAAUGGCUCUGGCACAGAAAUUAUUGCAAACCAUUGUUCAGCAAAAAUAUCUUUGCCGAAUUGCUGUCACUUUUUUCUCUAGGUAUGCACAUUGUCAAGCCUUAUUAUCAUUUCUUCUGACCAUGGCAUUUGGAUCAGCUCUGUAUCCAGUAAGUAGUUCAACCAAUAAUUAGAUGGUUGGACAGUCACCUUCAUCUCUUAUAUACUUUUGGUCCAUAUUUAUGUGGCCUUCUUUAUGCACUUAUGUUAAGUCAUAUCUAGCUAGCAGUGGAUUGGGUGUAAGGAGAACUUUGAUACUUUAUUCCAUAUCUUGAAAGGCAAACUACAGCUGCAGAGAUCAAUUGACAAGUCCAUGGAACAAUGAUAAAGACAUUUGAUCAAGGAAAGUCGUGGCACAUAGAAAAGUUUUUUAUUUUUUUUAGACUUAUUUUUCCCUUAAAUUCAUAAAGUGUAUUUAUUUUGUAAUUUGUAAACAAAAGGUUAGCAACCAUCAGUUUGCUUUAAAAUGAUGGCAUGCCUAAAUUGUAACCAAUGAAUUUUUUAUAUUUGUUUAGGCAACUUUAUUUGUAACUACUGUGACAUCUUUUCUGCUGAAAGUGACCUUUAAGCAAGAAAAACAUUUUCAUAUUUUAUAAAACGAUUAUUCAUAGAAAAUAAAUGCUUCAAGACAGGUGUUUCAUUGAGCUUGUCUAGUUAUGGGAUGAUCUAGUCAACUCUCCAGGUAAGCAGGAAGACUGUGUAUGG